rnacentral:misc_RNA from 1 species
GAGCAUGAGAGGGUCCUGGAACUGUUAACGAUGGCUGGGGUUUCUACUUCUUGCUUAACUCUCUCUUCCAGAAGGUAAUACCCUCUUCUUUCCUUUUGAUAUUGUUCGCCAUUUUAAGAAACGUUUCAAACGUGACUGUCUUUUCUUUUCUUUCUUUUUUUCCCUUCCGAUUCUUUGUGGUUUCUGAGAAAGUGAAUUUUUCAUUCUUUAAGAAAAUUGUUAUCAAAAUUAGGUAAUAAAUGGGAAAAUGUGAAAUAUGAGUUCAUACCGAAAAUGGGUUGGUUUAUUUUGAUUGCGUUGUUAUUUGCUAUAAAUAUAUGGGCACAUGUCAGAGAAAUGUGUUAUGAUUCAUAGUUAUUAAAGGCUCAAGUCUUGGAGCCUCUUCGCCUUGCGCCUGGGCUAGA